UAUAGUAAAGACAUGUUAUCUCUUUCUUGGGAGUGUUGCCACGUCAGAAAGUACUACAAGGAGAAUGUGACACCUGUCCCACUACCAAAACUCGGCGUUUCAGAUUUAGCGAUUGUGGGCCCGACACAUUUAUUAAAAGCGACAACAAACUUUGUUUCGAUGAGUUUUUGCAUGGUUAACGUUGGGUAAUUGUUCUAAUUUUAAUGGGUUUUUGUCACACAAAAUUGGGCCUGGUUUAGUUAAUGUUAGGUCACAACUUUUCGCCGUCUACGUUCUUCUUCGGUUCAUCUUCCUGGUGAUAAGAAAUCUGCAAAACGUUACAGAAUCUUGCUGAAUCCCACUCCUCACACAAUUCAUCAAUGAAUGCAUUCCCUCUUUACUCCCUUUCUCUGAAGCUUCAAGUAUAAAAAGGGAAAAUCUUCUUACGUGAAAAUCAUCAGUUUAAUCCUCUCAAUCAUAAGCUUUUACAAAAAUUCACGGUGGCAAUGUUUGUAUAUUUAGUGACUUCUAUUGUUAGCUUUUGCGUUUGACUAAGGAUUUUCGAUUUAUUAGAUCAAUUUAUGGAAUCAUUUUCAUCUUCUCUAUUGAAUUUUUUAAUUCAGUUUCUACAAAGCUUGAGAAGAAGCAGUGAUUUUGUUAUGGAAUAUUUGUUUGGAUAAUUUUAUAAUUUGGUUGAGGUGGUGUUCGACUGGAGCAGGAAUCUGAUUAUUUUCUAAUAUUAAGUACUUGGCAGGGAAAAGUGUUGCUGAAGUCGGGAUCUAUCUCUCAGGGUUCAAUAAGGUCAAUGAUAGUCGAUACUAAUACGAAAAUUUCUUUGAGAUAAGGAAACAAAUGUAUCUUGCAGCUCCAGAAAUGACAGAGCAAAAGCUGCUGGGAUAUACAAAAUAUCUGAAAGUUUUUAUACGUUUAAUAAAAAACUUUACAAAGAGAUCA